rnacentral:rRNA from 1 species
UACGUAGGUGGCAAGCGUUGUCCGGAUUUACUGGGCGUAAAGGGCGUGCAGGCGGUCUGUUAAGUGCAGGGUGAAAGCUCCCGGCUCAACUGGGAGAGGUCCUUGCAUACUGGCGGACUUGAGGGGGGUAGAGGAAAGUGGAAUUCCGAGUGUAGAGGUGAAAUUCGUAGAUAUUCGGAAGAACACCAGUGGCGAAGGCGACUCACUGGACACAUAUUGACGCUGAGGUGCGAAAGCGUGGGGAGCAAACAGG